rnacentral:rRNA from 1 species
UACGAAGGGGGCUAGCGUUGCUCGGAAUCACUGGGCGUAAAGGGUGCGUAGGCGGGUCUUUAAGUCAGGGGUGAAAUCCUGGAGCUCAACUCCAGAACUGCCUUUGAUACUGACGGUCUUGAGUCCGGGAGAGGUGAGUGGAACUCCGAGUGUAGAGGUGAAAUUCGUAGAUAUUCGGAAGAACACCAGUGGCGAAGGCGGCUCACUGGCCCGGUACUGACGCUGAGGUGCGAAAGCGUGGGGAGCAAACAGG